AUUAGAUAGAAAUUGUGUUGGUAGUGAUAUAAACAUUGUUAAUGAUAUGGGUCACAAUAUUAGUGGUAAUAAUAAGAACAAAUUAGGAAUGCAUGGUAACAAUGACGUUGUUGCUAUGAAUGUAAAUGAUAGUGUAAUAAAUCACGAGGUAAAUGGUAUGGGUGUUGGUAUUAGUGGCGGUGUAGACCAUCACAUACAAAAUAGUGUGAAAAGUGAAAUGAAAUCAAAAUCGAAUAAUAACAUGAAUAGUAAUACAAGUAACAACAUAAUGAUAAAUGCAAAUAACAGUAUUAACAGUAAUGACAAUAUAAUGAAUAAAUCAAAUUUUGAAAAGGGAGAAAAUCAUAAUGAACAUGAACCCGUAACAGGAGUAGUUAAAAAAAAAGUUGGAAGACCUAAAGGAACAGGUACAGCAAAGAAAGUAAUAAAAAAAGUAGAAAAAGUAUCAACAUCUUCAUCUGGUUAUCCAGGUGUUAGUUGGAAUAAAAGAAUGUGUGCAUGGUUAGCUUUUUUUUAUGAGGGUUCUUCAAGAAGAAGUAGAACAUUUCAUCCGAAAUAUUUUAAUAUGGACAAGGAAAAAGCGAAAUUAGCAGCAGUUGAUUUUAUGAAAUCAUUAGAGAAUAAUGGUCGAAAAAAAACUAUAAAAAGUAAAGCAGAUAUAGGUAAAACAAAAGUUUUAAAUGAUAAUAAUAUAAACAUAUUAAAUUCUGAUGCUGAUAACAGUAAAUGUUUAGGUAAUAAUAAUAAAAGUAUUGGUAGAGGAAGUAAUAAUAAUAAUAAUCGUAGAGGUGGUGGUAAUAGUAGUAAUAAUAAUGAUAGUGGUAGUAAUAAUAACAAUAGUGGAAGUAAUAACAAUAACAGUGGUAGUAAUAAUAACAAUACUGGUAGUAAUAAUAAUUUAAAUAGAAUAAGUUCUAAUAAUAAUAAUAAUAAUAAUAAUAAUACUCCGAUACAUUUAUUGAAUAUGAAUCCAUUUUAUUACAUGCACAGUAUUAAUCGAAAUGGUACAAUGACAGAUAUGACCAAUGCAGAAAGAAAAGGUUUGAAUACUACAUUUAACACUUUAAGUAACAAUACAACACCACCAAUAUGUAAUAAUAGUAAUAAUAAUAAUAAUAGUGGUAUUUCAAAAAGUAUACAUAACCAGAACAAUAUAUUUAUGCACAACAAUAAUAAUG
rnacentral:lncRNA from 1 species